AAGAAUUAAAUAAUAAACUACCCAUAAUUAGGAAAGCCGGCGACGGUGCCUAAUUUGUUCUUUCGCUUCUCACGGAGCAGCCGCAGCAUCGUCUUCUCAGAUCUGUCUCCCUCGUCACUGAGAAAGAGAGAGAAAACAGAGGUCUCUUUGCCGUUGACAUGGCGAUUAGGGUUUUUCUUAUUUCCCUUUUAUUCUUGUCGACCACAAUCACUACCUUUUCACUUUACGAAGAUCAAGUAGGCCUCAUGGACUGGCAUCAACAAUACAUAGGGAAAGUGAAGGACGCAGUAUUCCAUACACAGAAGACUGGUAGAAAGCGCGUUGUUGUUUCCACUGAAGAGAAUGUUAUAGCUUCCCUUGAUCUUCGGCAUGGCGAGAUUUUUUGGAGGCAUGUUCUUGGAGCCAAUGAUGCUAUUGAUGGAAUUGAUAUCGCCAUGGGGAAAUGUAAUUAUGCUUAUAUGUGUAAUCUGUCGUACAUGAUAGAUUUCAUUCGUGAGCAUGUAGUUACUGGAUCAUAAAUGAUGUUCUACAUGACUAUUUUUUUUCUUGAUUGUGGUUUUAUUGGGAUGCAUUAUUUGUUCUUCAUCUUAGAAGGACGAUGGUCAAUCUAGGAAUCUAUUGGCCAUCAACUUUUUCGACUUGGUUGCUUUAUGUUUGUGAUAUUAUCUGUGAUUCCUAUCCCCCCACUCUUUUAUCCUUAGCAUGCCCACCUUACAAAAAUAGAGAAUAGGCGUCAUUCCUUAAAUCUUUUUGUUUAGUUAAAGAUUGUAGAAAACAAAAUUGGUAAUCUGGUUUGCAGAAUAGUGGUCUGAAUUAUGUACACAUAUAUAUUAGUGUAUUUUGAGCUAAUUAAAAAUUUGUUUAUGAUUUUAUUAUAUUUGGAGUAUUGAUCAUCUUAUUGUUAUUUUGUAUAGACAAUGUUUUUUCCUUCUCUUGUACCCUGGAAGGAAUGAGCAUCUGACUGUUCUAGUUAUUCAAAUUCUUAAAUCUUCUGCCUCAUUUUCUCAGACAUCAUUACCCUUUCAUCAGAGGGGAGUAUCUUAAGAGCAUGGAACCUUCCUGAUGGGCAGAUGGUGUGGGAAUCAUUUCUUCAUAGCCCAAAUCACUCAAAAUCAUUAUUGUUGGUGCCAGUCAGUAAAUGAAAGUUUUUAUUUGUUACCUAUUAUAAUCUCUUAAUGAUACAAUGGUAAUUGAAUUACAGUUAAUGAGCAAUUUUACGAGGUCUUCCUGCCAUAUUUUUUUUUCCAAUUGCAAUCAAAUAUGUCUUGGGUCAUUUGCUAAAUCAGAUAAUGCUGAGAUCAUUUAUCAUAAUCUAGUUCCUGUGAUGAAAAUUUAUUUUUCAUACCUUCUUUGUUAGCACAAUUCACCCUUCCUAGGGGAUCUCAAUUCUACUUAGAAGUAUGCUCUUAUAAUAACAUCAUGCAAUCUACAAAUUUUCGAAAGAAUUUGUGGUUAACUAAGGUUUCAAUCUGCAGACCAGCUUGAAAAUUGACAAGGACAAUGUGAUUCUUGUGUUUGGCAAAGGAUGUCUCCAUGCUAUUUCAAGCAUACAUGGUGAGAUUCUCUGGAAGAAGGAUUUUGCUGCUGAAAGUUUUGAGGUUCAGCAUGUGAUUCAGCCUCUUGGAAGUGAUAUAAUAUAUGUUGUAGGAUUUGUUGGUUCAUCUCAGUUUAAUGUGUACCAAAUGAAUGCAAAGAAUGGAGAGCUGCUGAAGCAUGAAAGUGCGGCAUUAUCUGGUGGUUUUUCAGGGGAAGUUUCUUUAGUUUCUAGUAACACACUUGUUAUGAUGGAUUCCACUGGUUCAACUUUGAUAAAAGUGAACUUUCAUAAUGGAGAAAUCAACUUUCAGAAAACAGACAUAUCAGAUCUGAUUAAAGAGUCCUUAGGGAUGGCAACGAUAUUACCUUCAAAACUUGCUGGAAUAUUUGCUUUGAAAACCACUACAUUUAUGAUAUUUAUAAGAGUGACAGAUGAAGGAAAGUUGGAGGUGGUAGAUAAAAUCAAUCAUGUAACAGCUGUUAGUGAUGCUCUCUCAUUCUCCGAGGGUCAACAAGCAUUUGCAUUGGUUGAACAUUACAACAAUGACAUUUACCUUACAGUGAAGCUUGGGCAAGAGUGGAAUAGUGAUUUGCUUAAGGAAAGCAUUAAAUUGGACGACCAAAGAGGUUUGGUCCAUAAGGUUUUCAUAAACAAUUAUAUCCGGACAGAUAGGUCUCAUGGGUUUAGGGCUUUGAUUGUCAUGGAAGAUCAUUCACUUUUACUGCUACAACAAGGUGAGAUUGUCUGGUGUAGGGAGGAUGGCCUUGCCUCUGUUAUAGAUGCAACAACAUCCGAACUUCCUGUGGAAAAGGAAGGCGUAUCGGUAGCAAAAGUGGAAGAGAACCUUUUCGAAUGGCUCAAGGGACAUAUUCUGAAAAUUAAGGGCACCUUAAUGCUUGCAAGCCCUGAGGAGGUCGUGAACAUACAAGCCAUGAGGUUGAAAAGCUUUGAGAAGAGCAAAAUGACCCGAGACCAUAAUGGGUUCCGGAAGCUGCUAAUUGUGCUUACUAAAUCUGGGAAGGUUUUUGCCUUGCAUACUGGAGAUGGACGGAUUGUGUGGUCUCUCUUGUUAAAUUCUCUGCGUAAAUCAGAAACAUGUGAAAACCCAACUGGGCUUAAUUUGUAUCAGUGGCGGGUUCCUCAUCACCAUGCGAUGGAUGAGAAUCCAUCUGUUCUGGUAGUUGGCAGGUGUAGAUCAAAUUCAGAUGCACCUGGUGUACUUUCUUUUGUUGAUACUUACACGGGGAAGGAGCUUGGUUCUUCCAGUCUUGUUCAUUCUGUUGUCCAAGUGAUUUUGCUUCCAUUUACAGAUUCAAAUGAACAACGGCUACAUCUGCUAAUAGAUGCUAAACAACGAGCACAUUUAUACCCAAAAAACCCUGAGGCUGUUGGUAUUUUUCAGCGUGAGUUUUCUAACAUUUACUGGUACUCAGUUGAGGCUGAUGAUGGCAUUAUUAAAGGACAUGUGUUGAAGGACAAUUGCAUUGGCGAAGUAUCAGAUGAAUAUUACUUUGAAACCAAGGAGAUAUGGUCAAUUGUGUUUCCCUUGGAGUCAGAAAAGAUCAUCACAACUGUGACAAGAAAGUUGAAUGAGGUGGUUCAUACUCAGGCAAAGGUUAUAGCAGACCAAGAUGUGAUGUAUAAAUAUAUAUCAAAAAAUUUACUUUUCGUGGUGACUGUUGCACCAAAGGCCACUGGAGGUAUUGGAUCAGCUACUCCAGAUGAAUCAUGGUUGGUUGCUUAUCUUAUCGAUUCAGUAACUGGUCGUAUAUUGCAUCGCAUGACUCAUCAUGGCUCACAUGGUCCUGUCCAUGCGGUUUUUAGUGAAAACUGGGUUGUCUACCACUACUUUAAUCUUAGAGCACACAGAUAUGAGAUGUCAGUCAUUGAAAUUUUUGACCAGUCUCGAGCUGACAACAAAGAUGUUUGGAAGCUUGCUGUGGGAAAGCAUAAUCUCGCUUCUCCCAUUUCUUCCUAUUCUCGACUAGAGGUCAUAACAAAGUCACAGUCAUACUUUUUUACCCAUUCUGUCAAAGCAAUAGCUGUUACGUCUACGGCCAAGGGUAUAACUUCAAAGCAGUUGCUUAUUGGUACAGUUGGUGAUCAGGUUUUGGCACUGGAUAAGCGUUUCUUGGAUCCCCGUCGAUCAAUUAAUCCCACACAAGCAGAGAAAGAGGAAGGAAUGAUACCUCUUACAGAUUCAUUGCCAAUA
rnacentral:misc_RNA from 1 species